UAAGUUAAUAAGGGCGCACGGUGGAUGCCUUGGCACUAGGAGCCGACGAAGGACGUGACAAACGACGAUAUGCCUUGGGUAGCUGUAAGUAAGCGAUGAUCCAGGGAUUUCCGAAUGGGGGAACCCAACAGGUAAUACCUGUUACCUACAUCUGUUAAGGAUGUGAGGAGGAAGACGCAGUGAACUGAAACAUCUAAGUAGCUGCAGGAAGAGAAAGCAAAAGCGAUUGCCUUAGUAGCGGCGAGCGAAACGGCAGAAGGGCAAACCGAAGAGUUUACUCUUCGGGGUUGUAGGACUGCAAUGUGGACUCAAAGAUUAUAGAAGAAUGAUUUGGGAAGAUCAGCCAAAGAGAGUAAUAGCCUCGUAUUUAAAAUAGUCUUUGUACUUAGCAGUAUCCUGAGUACGGCGGGACACGUGAAAUCCCGUCGGAAUCUGGGAGGACCAUCUCCCAACCCUAAAUACUCCCUAGUGACCGAUAGUGAACCAGUACCGUGAGGGAAAGGUGAAAAGCACCCCGGGAGGGGAGUGAAAUAGAACCUGAAACCGUGUGCCUACAACAAGUCCGAGCCCGUUAAUGGGUGAGAGCGUGCCUUUUGUAGAAUGAACCGGCGAGUUACGUUAUGAUGCGAGGUUAAGUUGAAGAGACGGAGCCGUAGGGAAACCGAGUCUGAAUAGGGCGCCUUAGUAUCAUGACGUAGACCCGAAACCAUGUGACCUACCCAUGAGCAGGUUGAAGGUGCGGUAAGACGCACUGGAGGACCGAACCAGGGCACGUUGAAAAGUGCUUGGAUGACUUGUGGGUAGCGGAGAAAUUCCAAACGAACUUGGAGAUAGCUGGUUCUCUCCGAAAUAGCUUUAGGGCUAGCGUCGACAUUAGAGAUUCUUGGAGGUAGAGCACUGUUUGGGUGAGGGGUCCAUCCCGGAUUACCAAUCUCAGAUAAACUCCGAAUGCCAAUGAAUUAUGGUCGGCAGUCAGACUGCGAGUGCUAAGAUCCGUAGUCGAAAGGGAAACAGCCCAGACCACCAGCUAAGGUCCCAAAAUAAUUGUUAAGUGGAAAAGGAUGUGGGGUUGCACAGACAACUAGGAUGUUAGCUUAGAAGCAGCUAUUCAUUCAAAGAGUGCGUAAUAGCUCACUAGUCGAGUGACCCUGCGCCGAAAAUGUACCGGGGCUAAAACAAUUUACCGAAGCUGUGGAUACCUUUAUAGGUAUGGUAGGAGAGCGUUCUAUGUGUGAUGAAGGUAUACCGUGAGGAGUGCUGGAACGCAUAGAAGUGAGAAUGCCGGUAUGAGUAGCGAAAGACAGGUGAGAAUCCUGUCCACCGUAAGACUAAGGUUUCCAGGGGAAGGCUCGUCCGCCCUGGGUUAGUCGGGACCUAAGGAGAGACCGAAAGGUGUAUCCGAUGGACAACAGGUUGAUAUUCCUGUACUAGAGUAUGUAGUGAUGGAGGGACGCAGUAGGCUAACUAAAGCAGACGAUUGGAAGAGUCUGUCUAAGCAGUGAGGUGUGAAUUGAGUCAAAUGCUUAAUUCUAUAACAUUGAGCUGUGAUGGGGAGCGAAGUUUAGUAGCGAAGUUAGUGACGUCACACUGCCAAGAAAAGCUUCUAGCGUUUAAACAUACUCUACCCGUACCGCAAACCGACACAGGUAGUCGAGGCGAGUAGCCUCAGGUGAGCGAGAGAACUCUCGUUAAGGAACUCGGCAAAAUGACCCCGUAACUUCGGGAGAAGGGGUGCUGACUUAAAGUCAGCCGCAGUGAAUAGGCCCAAGCAACUGUUUAUCAAAAACACAGCUCUCUGCUAAAUCGUAAGAUGAUGUAUAGGGGGUGACGCCUGCCCGGUGCUGGAAGGUUAAGAGGAGUGCUUAGCGUAAGCGAAGGUAUGAAUUGAAGCCCCAGUAAACGGCGGCCGUAACUAUAACGGUCCUAAGGUAGCGAAAUUCCUUGUCGGGUAAGUUCCGACCCGCACGAAAGGCGUAAUGAUUUGGGCACUGUCUCAACGAGAGACUCGGUGAAAUUUUAGUACCUGUGAAGAUGCAGGUUACCCGCGACAGGACGGAAAGACCCCAUGGAGCUUUACUGCAGUUUGAUAUUGAGUGUCUGUACCACAUGUACAGGAUAGGUAGGAGUCUAAGAGAUCGGGACGCCAGUUUCGAAGGAGACGCUGUUGGGAUACUACCCUUGUGUUAUGGCCACUCUAACCCAGAUAGGUGAUCCCUAUCGGAGACAGUGUCUGACGGGCAGUUUGACUGGGGCGGUCGCCUCCUAAAAGGUAACGGAGGCGCCCAAAGGUUCCCUCAGAAUGGUUGGAAAUCAUUCGCAGAGUGUAAAGGUAUAAGGGAGCUUGACUGCGAGAGCUACAACUCGAGCAGGGACGAAAGUCGGGCUUAGUGAUCCGGUGGUUCCGUAUGGAAGGGCCAUCGCUCAACGGAUAAAAGCUACCCUGGGGAUAACAGGCUUAUCUCCCCCAAGAGUUCACAUCGACGGGGAGGUUUGGCACCUCGAUGUCGGCUCGUCGCAUCCUGGGGCUGUAGUCGGUCCCAAGGGUUGGGCUGUUCGCCCAUUAAAGCGGCACGCGAGCUGGGUUCAGAACGUCGUGAGACAGUUCGGUCCCUAUCCGUCGCGGGCGUAGGAAAUUUGAGAGGAUCUGCUCCUAGUACGAGAGGACCAGAGUGGACUUACCGCUGGUGUACCAGUUGUCUUGCCAAAGGCAUCGCUGGGUAGCUAUGUAGGGAAGGGAUAAACGCUGAAAGCAUCUAAGUGUGAAACCCACCUCAAGAUGAGAUUUCCCAUGAUUAUAUAUCAGUAAGAGCCCUGAGAGAUGAUCAGGUAGAUAGGUUAGAAGUGGAAGUGUGGCGACACAUGUAGCGGACUAAUACUAAUAGCUCGAGGACUUAUCCA
rnacentral:rRNA from 1 species